rnacentral:tRNA from 1 species
GCGAAAGUGGCGGAACCGGUAGACGCGCCAGCCUUAGGAGCUGGUGGCCCACACGGCCGUGGGGGUUCGAGUCCCCCCUUUCGCA